AGCAGCAUACUUAAGAAGGAAAUUAGGAAGUCAAAAAAGGGACUUGAGGUAGCUCUGGCAGAUACGUUUAAGGAGAAUCCAAAGAGAUUUUACAAGUGAAUGGGUGAUCGAAGGUCGGCGUUGACUCGGCGUGCCGAGGGGCUUGAUUUGAUGCUUUAUUUUUAAUCUCUAAGCUAAAUCUAAGUAUAUUAUGGGGAAAAGGGUAACGAGAGAGAAUAGGGCCCGUUAGGAUCCAAAGCCGUCAAAUAUGUAUGAAACCCCAACAGAUAGGCAAUGAGCAAUGUCCUCAAUUAACAUUUCUGCUACUUUUUAAUCGCAGGGAAAGCAAUGAAGGUCAAGGAAAUGGGGAAAGUUAAUGUUGAUGACUUGAGAACACUCUGUAUUCCAGCCAUGGAGGUGCUGGAUGCCCAAACAUGUAUGAAGGCACGAGGACUCUGGGAUCAUGGCUGCCUCCUCAUUACAUCAAUAGCAAUAACAAGAUUUCCAAGGAUAAAGGAACUCGUGAAGGCGCACAAACACCUGCCUAAUGUGUUGCUCCGUCAUUGUCACAUCAUCCUGGAGAAAGGGACAAGACGGUGUUGAAAUCAAGAGUUGGGAGGAAGAGGAAGCCAGCGUGUGCAUGGAGGAAAGGG